UCCAUGAUGGCUCAGAAGGUAAAGAAUCUGCCUACAAAGCAGGAGACCUAGGUUCAAUCCCUGGGUCAGGAA
rnacentral:tRNA from 1 species